rnacentral:rRNA from 2 species
UACGGAGGGUGCAAGCGUUAUCCGGAUUCACUGGGUUUAAAGGGUGUGUAGGCGGGUAGUUAAGUCAGUGGUGAAAUCUCCGGGCUCAACCCGGAAACUGCCAUUGAUACUAUCUAUCUUGAAUUUUGUUGAGGUAGGCGGAAUAUGUCAUGUAGCGGUGAAAUGCAUAGAUAUGACAUAGAACACCAAUUGCGAAGGCAGCUUACUAAGCAAAUAUUGACGCUGAGGCACGAAAGCGUGGGGAUCAAACAGG